rnacentral:rRNA from 1 species
GACGAACGCUGGCGGCGUGCUUAACACAUGCAAGUCGAACGGAGCGAAUGAAAGCUUGCUUUUAUAAGCUUAGUGGCAAACGGGUGAGUAACACGUAGACAACCUGCCGACAGGAUGGGGACAACAUUCCGAAAGGAAUGCUAAUACCGAAUGAAGUGCAGGGGAGGCAUCUCCCCUGCAUGAAAGAUGGCCUCUGAAUAUGCUAUUACCUGUUGAUGGGUCUGCGUCUGAUUAGCUGGUAGGUGAGGUAACGGCUCACCUAGGCGACGAUCAGUAGCCGGUCUGAGAGGAUGAACGGCCACAUUGGGACUGAGACACGGCCCAGACUCCUACGGGAGGCAGCAGUGGGGAAUCUUCCGCAAUGGGCGCAAGCCUGACGGAGCGACGCCGCGUGAGUGAAGAAGGUCUUCGGAUCGUAAAGCUCUGUUUGAUGGGGGACGAACGUGCCUAAAUGCG